UCUGCUGUAUUUUGGUUCACAACAAGUUUUGUUUUGGAUUUAAAAACUUCUUUAAAAUGGCUCCAUAUACGGGGUUCGGCAAAUCCUCAACAAAUCGAAACCGUUCUCAAUUUCCUGGACGAACAUAGAGAUUUAGCUCGCGGGAGAUUGAAUAGUUGAACCCAGCCAGGAAGAUAACCUGAGAGUCCAGCUGUAAAAGCUGCCUAAGUACCACCACCAUUGACACAAAAAUGCCGACUUUCACACCUUCCUCUCGACAUACACACUCUACAAGGAGACUGCCUACUACUAGGAGAUUACAGAGGAUGUGCCAGCACAGGUGUAAGAAGCAGAUUGUAUCAAUAUGAAGAGGAGCGUGCACAGAGAGAGACGGUGCAAAACGCAGAGCUUGCAGGCAUCAGGGGUGAAUUGGCAGGCAUCAGUCCUACCCUGUUGCAGCUGCAUAACACAAUAAGGGAAUAUGUGGAUAGGAAUUAAGAUUUUGUUAGUGUUUUGUUAGUCAUUAAUUGUGUUUAAUAUUUCUUUGUUAUUAAUUUGUAAUGUUUAAACAGGGUAAUAGUAAAUAAAACUUUAAGCAUA